rnacentral:lncRNA from 1 species
UAUACUUUGAGUGCCUGCAGCCCAGAUGGGAUAGUGGUUAAACUUUUAUAGCAUAGGGUUCGCCACAAAUAUUGUCAGAAAACGAAAUUAACCGUGGUCGCCAUAAGCUAUCGGCUUCUGCGAAGCGAUUCGAUAUGGACACUUCCCUUUUAUGGCGACUUGGAAACCGAGUUGUCGCUACCGUCCGUAGUAUCGCGCGAUCGACGAUAAAGCGUGUGCCUUUAUAUAAUAGUUCAUGAAGAGAGUCAGGAAAGAUGAAAAGAUAGAAUACGCCUGCUUUCAGGCACACAAGUCGCAACAUUGCGGUAGCGCGCAUAGGACGCAUUGUCUAAUUGGAAAAGGAGCAAAUGGAAUUGAUAGAAGGUGUAUCGAAAGUCCAUUCUGCAAGCGAAGCUAGCGGACAUUACGCCGCAAGUACAAUACUAUGACCGCAGUACACACGUAUGGUGUACAUAUAUAUGAGCGGAGAAUCCAGCGGACUACGUGCCGCUAGGAGACGAAAUUUAGCGAGUAAAUACUCAAAGUUCUUUAGAGACCUGCGAGCGAGAAACAACUGAGUUUCAUUUAGAGAAAAUAUGUUCGGAAGGAUAAAUAUAUUUUACUCACAAAAAUUAACUGUCAGUGGUCAAGUUUUUGUUUUUCGAAGCCCGGCACGUAAAAAUAAAUAAAUAAAUAAAAAAAAAAAAAGAACAGAGAUUGGAGAAUUAAGCACUAGCGAGGACCCGGAGGGGACAAGGAUGCAUUGCCGCAAUUGCAUAGGCUGUUCGCGAAAGCAGAGCGUGGAGUCCAAGGGUUUUGUUGGCCAGAACAGGCGUUUCAUAUGUAACGUGUUACAAAAUUAUGAUUCAAACAAUGAGAAAUGAGUAAAAUGCAUUUCCCUUGAAUUGACUCUACGCCAGUUGAAAAUGCGUGCAGUAACUUCCAUGUGCAACUUGUGGAAAAGCCUAAAGCUUAGGGUCGCAACAGACGAGGCGUGGUUCAUCUCUUCCCUCAGACGAAGAAGGAUUAGGCAAGUGAAUGACGCCGCUCUGGAAAGAAAUCGAGUUCGAUGGCAAUGUGGAGUAGGUUUGGUAGUACUUGCAAAGGGGUAUCGGAAGCAUUCGCUGCUAUGAAAUUCUCGCAGAAAACGGAACAAUGAAUACAGCUCACUAUCUAGAGCCAAAGAGUCAUGGAACGUGUGUACGGAUUGUUGACAAUCAAAAACACACGGUCUUGUUGCCUUACGACAACGUCAGACCUCACCGUCAUGCCUCUAUUACUUCUAUGUAGAUCUAGCAAGGAUAUUAGUCUCAGCCCACCUAUUCUCCCGAUCUAAGUUCGUAUUAUUACGGCGUCUUUCCAUGCCCUGCAAAAGAACACUGGUGGGCAAGCAUAUUCCACUGCAGCAUAUCGAACUAUCCCAUCAAGGAUGAGGUGUGCUGUACCAGAUACUCCGAAAUGACGAGAAAUUGGGCUUUCCACCGAUGCCCCUUCCUGGCGAAGCCUUUUUAGCUGUCGCUUUCAACAUAUCUAGAUUGUAUAAUAACUUUGCGCAAGUGAAAGUGCCAAUCAUCACCUCAACAUCAAACCGUCUAGAAGGCAAACAUUUUAUAUAGAUAACACAGCGAGCUCUAUGAUAUACUCAUUGUCAUACUACUGCCAUGACGGCUAGAGGCAGCACAGUUCAUUUACAGGCAGCCUAAGUUAUCGAUAAAUAACGAUAAUAAUAAUAAAAAUCGCGAGCGGCACCUAUUCGGAGAGGAAGCAAAUGAGAGGACGAACGUUCUUUUUUCAGCAGUUCUAAUUCCAUUCUAGUUCUGGUUUCUGUCGUGUAGCGCAGAGAAUUUUACUGGUAAAAUUUGCUGACUGUAGUUAGGUCGAAUCCUGUUGUAUGUACUAUCAGAGAACAGAAUGAUAGUUAGCGGUGAUCUUUUUUGCGGUUAGCUCGCUGGUCGGUUGGUCGACUAACGAAUCGCCUUGGUCAUGGCAACCUCAUCACGUCUUCUCUUGCCUUCCAGUUAGCCGAUUUUACAAUGAAUCGGCCGUACUGUUGCGGCUGUUGUUCUGUUGGACAUCAGUUCAGAUUCGCUGUCUGCAGUGCCCUCGUGUGUCCUGCUUCGAGCCAUGUUCGCUGUGGUAAUAAAAACGUUCAAUGUAACUGCACACUUUAGCAGUUAGCCUAAAUCACUGAAUUCAUCGUCGAGAGACGCUUAUCUAAGACAGUCAGAUAGCGCGUUCACACCAUAUAACCCGUGGUCGAACUCGUAAGCCUACAUGUGUUGGGAGCGCCCACAAAAAUAGCAGCGACUUUAUCAACUUGCGAUAUUAGCUGAAGCUGCGGGCAACAGCGAUAACAAUGAUGGAAACCGCCGUGGAAGCUAUCGUGGAUCGAGCAGCGCAAACAGACGGCAUACAAUUAGAUUUUUGUUACAUGUGUAAUAUAAUGAGACAUGUAAAAUCUAAUUGUCUAAGCGUCGGAAUUUACACUUCUGUUAUGUCUAAAAAUUAAUUCCCGAAGAACACGCUCCGUUUACUGCAUCUGAGGUAGCCCAGAAUCAAGCCCGAACGAUACCGACAAUGUUUAAGUCGAUGCAUAUAGGAAUGAAACCCCCAGCAUCUAUCCGUGACUUUGUUCAAGAAUUAGCAUGUAAACCAUGUAAUCCCCAUAGACAGCAGAACUUUACAUAUGUCCCUAAGUUUUUAUAUAAAACAGGUACAGGAAUGAUUGGCAAAGCGCGAAAUGGAUGGUUUCCCUACGAUCAAGCAGUAACUCCUAUGAACGGUCCUAUUAUCACAUGGUCUGAGUAUCAAAUGCCAGGAGACAAAGCUAAAAUGUGGUCCUAUCGUUAUAAGAUAAUUAUUAAAGCAGUAGUUGCCUAUAAACGAUUUACUUCGUAUGGUUCUGAAUUACAAUCUCUUGUA